rnacentral:rRNA from 1 species
GAUGAGCGCUGGCGGCGUGCCUAAUACAUGCAAGUCGAGCGAACAGAUGAGGAGCUUGCUCCUCUGACGUUAGCGGCGGACGGGUGAGUAACACGUGGAUAACCUACCUAUAAGACUGGGAUAACUUCGGGAAACCGGAGCUAAUACCGGAUAAUAUAUUGAACCGCAUGGUUCAAUAGUGAAAGACGGUUUUGCUGUCACUUAUCGAUGGAUCCGCGCCGCAUUAGCUAGUUGGUAAGGUAACGGCUUACCAAGGCAACGAUGCGUAGCCGACCUGAGAGGGUGAUCGGCCACACUAGAACUGAGACACGGUCCAGACUCCUACGGGAGGCAGCAGUAGGGAAUCUUCCGCAAUGGGCGAAAGCCUGACGGAGCAACGCCGCGUGAGUGAUGAAGGUCUUCGGAUCGUAAAACUCUGUUAUUAGGGAAGAACAAAUGUGUAAGUAACUAUGCACGUCUUGACGGUACCUAAUCAGAAAGCCACGGCUAACUACGUG